GUGAGGCUCCCACCCCGCGCGGUGCAGCCUGGCCUGCCUCUGAGGAGAGCUGCCUGCACGCAGGUUCGCGCCCCCUGCUCCCUGAGCGCCUGGGCUCCCCAGAUGCUGCUUUUAACGGGAGGCAGACGGAGAGAUCCUGAGAAAUGUGGCACCUUCUAACCCUCCGCGGGCAAAGCAGUUCUCACCCGCACAGCAGGGCCUGGUUUUCCCUCCCUCUUCUUUUGUAGAUUGGAAUGAGUACUUUAUUAUUUUCCUGUACUCGAUUCCCGACAAGGCUUCCAUUUCAAGGGCAAAAGGAUAGGGGCAGGGUGAAGGGGGGCUGAUUUUCCCCUCAGGUGUGCCGAGGAGGGGCCUCCGGGGAGUGGGGGUCUGGAGUCCCCGUGCCUGAGGACUGCAGGCCCUGCUGUUCGGCUCUCUUCCUGCCGUGCUCUGGGCCCUUCCCAGCCUCUCCUGGGGUCCUUGGACGCAUCCAUGUUUCCCCGGGGAAUCGGCCCGGGGCUCCUGGUGCGUCACAGACAGAAAGGUUCAGAGCCGCCCUCCUGGGUAGGAAGUGAGGUGGGAGAGGCCAAGCCCUGGCUGGGAAUCCACUGGUGUUGGCCCUGGACCCCAGGCAUCGGCACACUGGGGUCUCCACCCCCUGGGGCUCCCCAGGCUGCCCAGCCUCCUGCGCUCCAGGGCCUCGGACUGCAGGGUCCAGGGUGCAGCCAGCCCCUCGGCUCCUGUCACAGCCUCGAUGGCCCUUGUCCUGUGUCCCUGUGCUCUCAGAGCCCGGGCUCUCCCUGCCACUCCUGUAGUACCGGUGGGUGGGUCCAGCCACAGAAACCAGGCUGCAGCCGUCUAUGCCACUUUGGCUCAGUACCUGGAACCUGGUAGGGGCACUGGUGUGCAGAGCGAAUGAAGAAAUGAACCAGUAGCCCAGCGGGAGGGUGCACACCUGUCAUCCCAGCACUCGGCGGGGCUGAGGCAGGAGGACUGCAAACUCAAUCCCAGCCUGGGCACCUUCCUGACCUAGUGAGACCCUGCUUCAGAAAUAAGGAAGAAAAAGGGUUGAGGGUGCAGCUCAGUGCGAAGGCCCUGGAUUCAGUCCCUAGAAUCACAAAAACAAACACAAAUCCAAGGCAGUCUCAGAAUCAGGGCCACACUUGAAUCUCUCUUCUUAUUACAGAUAAGGAGCCUAGGAAUGAAAAUGGUCUUCUCGUCUUCCUUUGCUUUAAAUUUCUGAAACGUGAGGAGUCGCACUUUUCAAACCUCUGCGAACCCAGCUGAAGCUGCGGCAGUACCAAAUGGAACAUGCAGAGCUGAGUAAACAAAGUGACUUAGAGCUCCUUCUUGUCCUUGGGGCCAAUAUCAUAAAGGGAUCGAACUUGGGACCUUGUCCUCGCAAGACAGGCUGCAGAACCAGAGCAGCCUGCAACGCUGACAGACCACGGUCAAGGGCCGAGCUGCAUCGAGAGCCUGUGUAGAGCACGGAUCUGCACGAAAAGGGCAGAUUUAUCAUUUGUGUCUAAGGCAGCAUGCAUGCACUGUGUGCUCUAAAGCCCUGUAUUCGGUAAGGAGCUUCGCCGAGGAAGGCGGGGGGGCCGGAGGGAGGG
rnacentral:lncRNA from 1 species